rnacentral:rRNA from 1 species
UACGGGGGGGGCAAGCGUUGUUCGGAAUUACUGGGCGUAAAGGGCUCGUAGGCGGCCAACUAAGUCGGAUGUGAAAUCCCCAGGCUUAACCUGGGAACUGCAUCCGAUACUGGAUGGCUUGAAUCCGGGAGAGGGAUGCGGAAUUCCAGGUGUAGCGGUGAAAUGCGUAGAUAUCGGGUGGAACACCUGUGGCGAAGGCGGCCAUCUGGACGUCAACUGACGCUGAGACGCGAAAGCGUGGGUAGCAAACAG